rnacentral:rRNA from 1 species
CCAAGGAGUCUAGCAUGUGCGCGAGUCAUUGGGAACUCGUAAACCCAGAGGCGCAAUGAAAGUGAACAGCGCGGUCCUCGCGACCGCCGCAGGGAUGAUGGCGGACGGUAAUGCAAAUCGCCGUCCUUGCCCGCAAUCCCGAGGCGUUUCGAGAAAUGCCAUCGUUGCGAUUAUCGAGACGCACUGAGAGCGCACACGCUGGGACCCGAAAGAUGGUGAACUAUGCCUGGUCAGGUUGAAGUCAGGGGAAACCCUGAUGGAGGACCGAAGCGAUUCUGACGUGCAAAUCGAUCGUCGGAACUGGGUAUAGGGGCGAAAGACUAAUCGAACUAUCUAAUAGCUGGUUCCAUCCGAAGU